GGCCCCGUAGCUCAACUGGAUAGAGCAGCGGACUUCUAAUCCGCAGGUUGCAGGUUCGAGCCCUGCCGGGGUCGCCA
rnacentral:tRNA from 1 species